GGGAAUGUGGCUUAGUGGUAGAGUGCUUGCCCAGCAUGCAUGAAGCCCUGGGUUCGAUUCCUCAGUACCA
rfam:Dipodomys ordii contig_85932, whole genome shotgun sequence.